AGAGGUGGCAAGCGUUGUUCGGAAUUACUGGGCGUAAAGGGCGCGUAGGCGGCCUUCUUAGUCAGACGUGAAAUCCCCGGGCUUAACUCGGGAACUGCAUCUGAUACUGGAAGGCUGGAGUUCGGGAGAGGGAUGUGGAAUUCCAGGUGUAGCGGUGAAAUGCGUAGAUAUCUGGAGGAACACCGGUGGCGAAGGCGGCAUCCUGGACCGAAACUGACGCUGAGGCGCGAAAGCCAGGGGAGCAAACGGGAUUAGAUACCCCGGUAGUCCUGGCCCUAAACGAUGAGUGCUUGGUGUGGCGGGUAUCGAUCCCUGCCGUGCCGAAGCUAACGCAUUAAGCACUCCGCCUGGGGAGUACGGUCGCAAGGCUGAA
rnacentral:rRNA from 1 species